AAAACCCCAGCAGGUUAGCUUCUCAUUAAAUAGCUUCUCCUGAGGGCAGACCUUGUUAAGAAGAACAAAAUGCUCUGGCGUAUUUCAAAAUGGCUCCUUUUCCCCACCCACUACCAGAGGCAUGGAUAAUCACCCUGAGGACCUGUGAGAGAUCCAGGAGCUUAAAAAAAAUUGGGGAGCGGGGAAGAGGGAAUGGCUAGGUCCCUCUGACUUGUCCACACUGAUCCUUCAGGUUUACCUAUCCUGGUACUUGUUCCAUUGGAGGCUUCAGCGGCUAGUUUCUGCUCUGUGGUUACCAAUGACACAGGAGCUGAGCUUCCAAAAAUUUAUUGAACAAUCUGACUUACUAGGAGAACUUAAAUAUGACUUCAAUGAAAAAGAUGAAUUCAGACAUACUGAGACACAAAGGCCUUUUGUCUUUAACUAUUAUGAAAAUGUCCUUGAGAAAAAUAGCAAGCGCUACCAGGCCCUUGGCCAUUUGCUUGAACAAUACAUUUAUGAGCUUUUGGAGAAAGUGUGCAAAUUAGAAAAAGUAUAUAUCCCACCUGAGGCUGAUAAAGAAGAACCAAGAAGCUUCUUUUUCAUGAGCGAGAAAGCAUUAACAAAUCACCAUUCUGCUCUUCUUAUCCUUCUUCAAGACCAUGGGGUCUUUCGAGCUGGUCAGUGGAGUCAACAGGCAAUAAUACAUCAUGGUCUCCAACAUGGAAGUCAGAUACCAUGUAUUCAAAUGGCAUUGCAGGCACACUAUGAUGUAAUUGUGCUAAACCCCAAUGAUAAUUUUGUGGAACCAAAGGUGGAAAAAGAGUGGAAAGGCCUUUUAACACAAAAUAUUGAGUCAUCUUCUCUAAAAAUGGUUCAAGGUGGGAGCUUUUUCUCUCUCCAGCAUCCUCCCAAAUGCAUUCCAAAAAGAUGCAGCAACACCCCCGAAGAACACACGGCUUACAUAUGGGAUUACUUCAUUUCAAAGACUGAAGGCAAGGAUAUUGCCUUCAUUGUACAUGGUUAUGGAGGCUUGGUUUUUAUGGACUUGCUUGUUCGUAGAAGGUGGGAAGUGAUGAGCAAAGUAUAUGCUGUUGCACUUAUCGACUCUGAACAUCACGUAGGACACCAGCUGGGAAGUGAUGUACAAUUAUUAGCAUGGAUAAAGCACCACUGCCGUGAAUGGGUGACAAGUCCUAAGCCUUUGGAUAAACCUGCAGCUACUGUUUUCAAAAAGGAAUUUCCUAUGGUUUCUGCUGGCACAGAAAAGUACAUCUUAGCCCCUUCCUCUAGCCUUCAGUCAAUUUUUAAGUACUUUAAAAAAGCUUUAAAAGCCAGAACAACCAUUAAUUUCUCUCGAAUGCCAAUAGUGACUAGAAGCUCCACAAAAAGAAAGCAAAGUGCUUAAACUACUUUUGUCAUCUAAGAUUUUUUUGUCCUUCUGCAACUUUGCUAAUACAGAUUCUGGAAGAAAAAAGAACACUUUCAACUCACACACAAUAUGAUGUUCUGGCUUGAGGUUUGAUUUGUUACUUUUUAUUAUUUGGUUUUUAUGAGGCAGGGUCUGACUUUGCUGCCCAGGGUGGUAUGGAAAUCUGGCCUCAAGCGAACCUCCCACCUCAGCCUCCCAAAGUGCUGAGAUUAUAGGCAUUAGCCACUGCACAUGGCCAUGGCCAGGUUUGUUGCUUUUUUUUUUUUGGAGGAGGAGGAGGAGGAGUCUCUGUCACCCAGGUUGGAGUGCAGUGGCACCAUCUCAGCUCACUGCAACCUCCACCUCCUGGUUUCAAGCAGUUCUCCUGCCUCAGCCUCCCAAGUAGCUGGGACUACAGGCACAUGCCACCACGCCCAGCUAAUUUUUGUAUUUUUACUAGAGACGGGCUGUUCGCCAGGCUGGUCUAGGACUCUUGACCUCAGGUGAUCCACCCACCUUGGCCUCCCAAAGUGCUGGGCUUACAGGCAUAAGCCACUGCACCUGGCCAUUUUGUUGCUUUUUUGAAAAGUGAACAUAUUCUCUCUUUUGUAGCCUGUUGAUGAACUGGGAAUUCAGUGUCAUCAUUAAUAUUUUACAGUGUUAGUUAAGUGUGAAGAUCUUUCUUUUAAAAAGCUGUGGUUUGAUAUAAUGACAACAAAAUGGCAAUUGAUAAAAAUUAGAUAUUGAAUCAAUCUUUGAUUUCUAUAAUAAUACCAUAGUAAAAUUAAAAGUGAACAUAAAAAUUAAACAUCAUAAGCAAACUGCAUUCUUUGUGUGUUUAUGUUUUUUGUUAAAAUUUGUUGUACUCCCUGUUCACCAGGUCUGAAGAAAAAUAAAUUUUAAAU